UAGGGAAUCUUCCGCAAUGGGCGAAAGCUUGACGGAGCAACGCCGCGUGAGUGAUGAAGGUCUUCGGAUCGUAAAACUCUGUUAUUAGGGAAGAACAAAUGUGUAAGUAACUAUGCACGUCUUGACGGUACCUAAUCAGAAAGCCACGGCUAACUACGUGCCAGCAGCCGCGGUAAUACGUAGGUGGCAAGCGUUAUCCGGAAUUAUUGGGCGUAAAGCGCGCGUAGGCGGUUUUUUAAGUCUGAUGUGAAAGCCCACGGCUCAACCGUGGAGGGUCAUUGGAAACUGGAAAACUUGAGUGCAGAAGAGGAAAGUGGAAUUCCAUGUGUAGCGGUGAAAUACGCAGAGAUAUGGAGGAACACCAGUGGCGAAGGCGACUUUCUGGUCUGUAACUGACGCUGAUGUGCGAAAGCGUGGGGAUCAAACAGG
rnacentral:rRNA from 1 species